AGUGGAGGUUUAGUGGAGGUUUAGUGGAGGUUUAGUGGAGGUUCAGUGGAGGUUCAGUGGAGAUUUAGUGGAGGUUUAGUGGAGGUUUAGUGGAGGUUUAGUGGAGCUUCAGUGGAGGUUUAGUGGAGGUUUAGUGGAGCUUUAGUGGAGGUUUAGUGGAGGUUUAGUGGAGGUUUAGUGGAGAUUGAAAGACAGUGGAGGUUUAGUGGAGGUUUAGUGGAGGUUUAGUGGAGGUUUAGUGGAGGUUUAGUGGAGAUUUAGUGGAGGUUUAGUGGAGGUUUAGUGGAGGUUUAGUAUAGGUUCAGUGGAGGUUUAGUGGAGGUUUAGUGGAGAAUUAGUGGAGGUUUAGUGGAGAUUUAGUGGAGAUUUAGUGGAGGUUUAGUGGAGUUUUAGUGGAGAUUUAGUGGAGGUUUAGUAUAGGUUUAGUGGAGGUUUAGUGGAGGUUUAGUGGAGGUUCAGUGGAGGUUUAGUAUAGGUUUAGUGGAGAUUUAGUGGAGGUUUAGUGGAGGUUUAGUGGAGGUUUAGUGGAGAUUUAGUGGAGGUUUUGUGGAGGUUUAGUGGAGGUUUAGUGGAGGUUCAGUGGAG
ensembl:lncRNA